rnacentral:rRNA from 1 species
UACGUAGGGGGCAAGCGUUGUCCGGAUUUAUUGGGCGUAAAGAGCGUGUAGGCGGCCAGUUAGGUCCGUUGUGAAAACUCGAGGCUCAACCUCGAGACGCCGAUGGAAACCAACUGGCUAGAGUCCGGAAGAGGAGAGUGGAAUUCCCGGUGUAGCGGUGAAAUGCGCAGAUAUCGGGAAGAACACCCGUGGCUAAGGCGGCUCUCUAGUACGGUACUGACGCUGAGACGCGAAAGCGUAGGGAGCGAACAGG